GACGAACGCUGGCGGCGUGCUUAACACAUGCAAGUCGAACGGAAAGGCCUCUUUCGGGGGGUACUCGAGUGGCGAACGGGUGACUAACACGUGAGUAACCUGCCCUUGACUUUGGGAUAACUUCAGGAAACUGGGGCUAAUACCGGAUAGGAGCUCCUGCUGCAUGGUGGGGGUUGGAAAGUUUCGGCGGUUGGGGAUGGACUCGCGGCUUAUCAGCUUGUUGGUGGGGUAGUGGCUUACCAAGGCUUUGACGGGUAGCCGGCCUGAGAGGGUGACCGGCCACAUUGGGACUGAGAUACGGCCCAGACUCCUACGGGAGGCAGCAGUGGGGAAUAUUGCACAAUGGGUGGAAGCCUGAUGCAGCAACGCCGUGUGCGGGAUGACGGCCUUCGGGUUGUAAACCGCUUUCGCUCAUGACGAAGCUUUGUGUGACGGUAGUGGGUAAAGAAGCACCGGCUAACUACGUG
rnacentral:rRNA from 1 species